rnacentral:rRNA from 1 species
UACGUAGGGGGCAAGCGUUGUCCGGAUUUAUUGGGCGUAAAGAGCGUGUAGGCGGUCUGGUAGGUCCGUUGUGAAAACUCGAGGCUCAACCUCGAGACGCCGAUGGAAACCAUCAGACUAGAGUCCGGAAGAGGAGAGUGGAAUUCCUGGUGUAGCGGUGAAAUGCGCAGAUAUCAGGAAGAACACCCCGUGGCUAAGGCGGCUCUCUAGUACGGUACUGACGCUGAGACGCGAAAGCGUGGGGAGCGAACAGG